ACUGAGUUUCUCGCCGGAUCUUGUCAGUGGAUCACGUUUCCGAUCCGGUGACAGAUUCUGCGAAGCACGGCUCUUGCUAAGGUUCGUGUUAGCAACAACGUCAGGUUUGAGCCCCAUGAGCUCACCUACUUGCCCCGUUACGCUGCAAUAGUAUCUCAAGACCAUCAGCUUAGGCAUCAGUUAUCAGUGCCUUUUUUUCGGUCUGGGGCCGAAACCGAACACACGUGGUAUGUAAGGGAUAGUAUUUAGGGCCGGGGUAAAGGGGUUACCGCGGUCAACACUGCAACUCGACGCAUGGCUCACCCAAGGACAACUCGAGACUAUGGACCUCGGGGGCGUGUUAAAGUGUUGGAAAGCGCUGAGGCCACAGCCUACAGGGUCCAGGACGUACAUUCGUACUGUCUCUUCGCAGAAGUCACGCAUCACCUUCCAGGACGCGUCGCUGCCAAGCAUCGUAUUCACGAUGGUCAGCAGCGACAGGUUCUCUCCCACAACCGCGACGACUCAAGUAAACGUAACAAAAGGCAAUUUGUCGCCAAGCUUGCGAGGUUCUAACUUACCCUGUAGAAUAGCUAAAUAAUCAUUCAAAGCGCUGAUUAAACCAUCCCAAAAUCUAUCUUUUUCUGCUGGAAAUAUGUUUUUCCAGUGUGUCCAAUACUGUUCGAUUUCCUCCGUAGUUAGCUGACGGGAUGGUGUUGAAAAAUCCGGCGGCUUAACAGAUUCUCUAAAUUAUCAAAACAAAUAUUAUCAAACACUUCAAAAAAUUACUUAAUGUUAACGUUUCCAAUUUACAUACAUAAAACCUUUAAAAUAUUAAAACUUACAGAAUAUUGAA